GUUGAACGCUGGCGGCAUGCUUUACACAUGCAAGUCGAACGGUAACAGGCCUUCGGGUGCUGACGCGUGGCGGACGGGUGAGUAAUGCAUCGGAACGUGCCCAGAUGUGGGGGAUAACGCAGCGAAAGCUGUGCUAAUACCGCAUGUGAUCUGAGGUUGCGAUCGGGGGACCAAGCAGCAAUGUUUGGCCUCUCGCCUCUGGAGCGGCCGAUGGCAGAUUAGGUAGUUGGUGGGGUAAAGGCCUACCAAGCCGACGAUCUGUAGCUGGUCUGAGAGGACGAUCAGCCACACUGGGACUGAGACACGGCCCAGACUCCUACGGGAGGGAGCAGUGGGGAAUUUUGGACAAUGGGCGCAAGCCUGAUCCAGCAAUGCCGCGUGCGGGAAGAAGGCCUUCGGGUUGGAAACCGCUUUUGUACGGAACGAAAAGGCUCUGGCUAAUACCUGGGGCUGAUGACGGUACCGGAAGAAUAAGCACCGGCUAACUACGUG
rnacentral:rRNA from 1 species